GGGCAGACGGACUGGCAGGCGGGUGGCGGCGGCGGCGCUUGGUAGUGAGGGCGGGAGGGAGUGAGUCACUGAGUGUGUGUGAAGGAGGGAAUCAGCCAGCGAGCGGGCGGGCGAGCAGCUCGCGCCGUUCCCCCGCAGCUCCAGUCAGGCCCCGCCGCCACAGCCUCUCCGCCCCGCGCCGAGGCCGGGCAGAGCCGAGCUGGGUCGGGCCCGGGCCAUGCUGCUCACGGUGUACUGUGUGCGGAGGGACCUCUCCGAGGUGACCUUUUCCCUCCAGGUCGACGCCGACUUCGAGCUGCACAACUUCCGCGCGCUGUGCGAGCUUGAGUCCGGUAUCCCCGCAGCCGAGAGCCAGAUUGUCUACGCUGAAAGACCUCUCACAGACAACCACAGAUCACUGGCUUCUUAUGGCUUGAAAGAUGGGGACGUUGUGAUUUUACGACAAAAGGAGAGUGCAGAUCCUCGACCUCCAGUGCAAUUCCCAAACUUACCCCGAAUAGACUUCAGUAGUAUAGCUGUGCCUGGCACAUCAAGCUCCCGGCAGCGCCAGCCACCAGGAGCACAGCAGCCCCACUCAUCUCUUGGAGAAAUAGCUUCAUCUCCUCAGGGCUUGGACAAUCCAGCCUUGCUCCGAGACAUGUUGCUGACCAACCCCCACGAGCUGUCCUUGCUGAAGGAACGCAAUCCACCCUUGGCAGAUGCUCUGCUCAGUGGAGAUCUUGAGAAAUUUUCUAGGGUCCUAGUGGAGCAGCAGCAGGACCGAGCCCGGAGAGAGCAAGAAAGGAUUCGUCUCUUUUCUGCUGACCCUUUUGAUCUCGAAGCUCAGGCUAAGAUAGAAGAAGAUAUAAGGCAACAGAACAUUGAGGAAAACAUGACAAUAGCUAUGGAAGAGGCUCCAGAAAGUUUUGGCCAAGUAGUGAUGCUUUAUAUUAACUGCAAAGUGAACGGACAUCCUGUGAAAGCCUUUGUUGACUCAGGUGCCCAGAUGACUAUUAUGAGCCAAGCUUGUGCAGAAAGGUGUAAUAUAAUGAGGCUGGUGGACCGUCGGUGGGCAGGGAUCGCCAAAGGAGUGGGCACCCAGAAGAUUAUUGGAAGAGUACAUCUAGCUCAGGUUCAGAUUGAAGGAGAUUUCCUGGCGUGUUCCUUCUCUAUACUUGAGGAGCAGCCCAUGGACAUGCUUCUGGGACUGGAUAUGCUCAAACGGCAUCAGUGUUCCAUUGACCUCAAGAAAAAUGUACUCGUGAUCGGCACCACAGGCUCCCAGACCACCUUCCUUCCUGAGGGAGAGCUACCAGAGUGUGCCAGGUUGGCAUAUGGGGCCGGGCGAGAGGACCUACGGCCAGAUGAGACUGGAGACCAAGAAUUAGCAGAAGCCCUUCAAAAAUCUGUAGAGGAUGCAGAGAAAAGCGGUAAAGAAACUACCUCACUGGGAAUGUCAUCGUUACCAACUUCAGAUGGAUUUAACCAUCUAGCCCAUCCUUCAGGACAGAGUCCUGAGAUUGGUAAUCAUACGAGUCUUACUCGCUCUGUCUCUGCUUCGGUCUGCCCUGCAAAGCCCAGUGACCCAGCUAGCCUUGAACCUGAAACUGUCAAGGCUUCGAAGGCUUCAGCUGAGUUCCAGAUAACCUCUGAAAAGAUAGAGCAUCUUCUUCCUCUACAGGAUCUUUCUGAUCAUGCUUCUUCAACAGACAGUGCUCCAGCAGACCAGAGUGCAUCUAUGCCUUUGAAGAAUUCAUCAAAAGAAGCAGUCGUUGCAGAUAAUCUAAAGAAGUCUACUGAAGAAAGCACCCAGGGCCUCAAAAUUCAUCUCUAUACAAGACAGGAAACUGGUUUAUCCGUCGCAACUACUAGGAUGCGUGAACCGCAAAUGUUUCUCAGCGAAGAGGGCUGGCAUCCAGAAUAUCAGAAUCUGAGUCAAGUAAAUGGCCUUCAGCACCAUGAAGAACCAGGGAAUGAACAGCACGAGGUUGUAGAACAGAAUGCUUCGCAUGACCCAGAACAUCUUUGUAACACAGGGGACCCUGAACUUCUUAGAGAAAGGCAAUGGAACCAACAAAAAUGUGUUGAUUUAGAAGAUGAGAUGAAAGGGGACAGGCAGAACGUAGACCUAGGUACAGAGAAAAAUACUCUACCAUCAGGAUGCUUUGGCUGCUCUAAUUUGGAAACACUUAUGGAAGUAGACAUUGUUGAAGAGUCCCUGGUUGCUGUGUUUAAUUCAGCAGGCAGUCAGAAUGCCAGUGUCAAGAACAUUGGUGCAUCUGAUGCCACGCUAGAUAAUCCCUUAAUGGAAGUAGAAACAUCAAAAUGUAACCCUUCAUCUGAAAUUUUAUCUAAUUCCAUUUCCACUCAGGAUUUACAGCUCCAAGAAACUAAUGUUGAAAUGUCUGCAACAAAUAAAGAAUAUGGCAAUUAUUCCCCCUCUUUAAGUCUUUGUGGCAGUUGUCAGCCCUCUGUGGAGUCAACAGAGGAAUCAUAUUCAUCUAUAACGACAGCUUUGAAGGAACUUCAUGAGCUUUUAGUCAUUAGUAGUAACCCAGCUUCAGAAAAUACAUCUGAAGAAGUUGUCAGCCGAUCAGAAACAGGAGCUGAGGGCCAAACAAAUACUCAAGACCUUUCUGAAUUAUGGACCCAAAAUGAGGCUCUUCCAACUACCCAGGAAGAACAGCAUUCACCAGUCUCCUUCCACCAGGCUGUACCUGUAUCGGCGAAGACAGAAACAUUAACAGGCACUUCACCUGGCACUGGAAUAGAGGAUAUAGAACAUAUUAACUGCAGGGGUCCAAGUGAUGGCAUGCAUACUGAUCAAGAAAGUGUCCCCAGGUCUAGGGAAUCAGUAAACGACAGAAGUUCUGUCCCUCUAGCCUCAGCUAAAACACCUGAUCAACUGCACUGCACCCUGGGUACAGAAGCUUCCCCCAAACUUUUAGCAGGUGAGGAUGCACUCAACCAGAUUUCUGAGCAAACUAAGCCCUUGCCAUUCAGUUUCAUAUUGGUUAAAGACUUGAGUCAGUGCACGCAGAAUCCAAUGACAAACAGGCCUGAAACCAGAGAAGAUGUCUGUCGUGAAGUGACCAGACCGUUCCUUGAGUUUGAACCACCUGCCAGCCACCCAUCACAUCCCUCCAUUCUUCCACCAUUGAUUUUUCCUGCUGCAGACAUUGACCGGAUCCUCCAUGCUGGCUUUACUUUGCAGGAAGCUCUUGGGGCUUUGCAUCGAGUUGGCGGAAAUGCAGACCUUGCUCUUCUUGUUUUGCUAGCAAAGAACAUUGUAGUUCCUACAUAACCAUGGAAAGUGGGCUAGACUGUACUCCAUUCCCUUAAAGAAAGCUAUAUGCACACACACCACAUACACACUCACACUCAUACAGUGACCUUCCAUGCAGGGUGCCAUCCUCCUGUCACCCCAUUUGAGAGCAUAGCCACUGUGGAGUACUGACAUCUGGGCUAACAGAACGUAGCAGAAGAUUCUGCGGGGUGUGCUGUUUUAAAGCAGCUGAGUUCAGGAUUGAAGAUGGGGGUCUAGAACAGAAAAUGGAACAAGCAAUGAAUGGCUGUAGGACAAGAAUGAUGGGCAGAAUUGAUUUACAAGAGCAUUUAAGGAGCUACUGAAUUUUUCUACAGGAUUCCAUCAAAGGGACAUUCUUUAACGCAUUAUUUAAAAUGUCAUAUGUUGUUAUCCUGAGGCAUACAGAUAGAAUUUCUGGAUCGUAACUACAAGUGACUUCAGAGGGUAGCUUCUCAAAGGUUUAUCCUUUAUGUUUUGGUGAUUGCUAAUGUAGACCUUAGGGGGCUGUAAAAGGUAAGAGGAUACAGCUGAUUAAUUUUAGGGCACCAUCUUGUGGUAAGAAGUCUGCAAAUAGUUCAAGGGCAUAGGGCUUAGAGCAUUUUACGUAAGAAAGUUAAGCAAACUACAGAAGACUUCGGAUGGGGGUGUGGAAUGCAAAAUUAGAAUAAUAUUUAGAGAACUAUUUUUCUUUAAAUAUGUACUUUAAGAAGGUUUUCAUUAGCUGAUGUGGGGAAGGGGCAUCCUGGGGUAUAUUUUCCUAGGAAAAUGCAUCUCCUGGGAAGUUACUUUGUUUACAAGACUGUUUUACCUGCAACCUUGAGCAAAUGCAUCUGUGGCCUGAAGAAGAGUAGACCUGUGUUAAUUUUCUCCCAGAGGCAACUGGAUCUGUUUGUCUAGAUUCCUUCUGAGAUUACCUGAUGCUGCCCAGACUUCUUUGUCCUUCCCUGAAGACCUACAGCUUUCUGAGCCCAUGCUACCUACCGAUCCAGACUCUCCUGUUUGAAUAAUUAGAUUUCCAUUCUGUACUCUACUGACCAUCCUUUUGAAAGAGUUGGGUGGGAUACUCAGAACAGUUCAACAUACUGAUUGAAUUUGCUUUUUUCAAUGUGCAUCUAGGAUGAAAGUUAAUUUGCUUGUUUUUAUUCAAACUCAUCUUCAUGGCGAGUUGGGCUAAUGGCCUUUGCCCUCAAGAAAGCUUUCUUGACCAAUUUUGUAGCCAUAUUUGGCAAAUUGUAAUUCAUAGAAACCCUUCUGUCCUUUUUCCAUUUAUUGCAAUCGCUCAUGUAGGGCAAGAUCUGGCUUUUCUUCGAGCUUUGAGACUACUGCAUCUUACAAGAAGGACUAGGGUGACUGACAAAAUAGGCUUGCCAGCAGCUCAGUCAUUUCCAUAACACUUUGGUUUUGAGAGUUCGGGAAACUCUGAGAACUUAAGGGAACCAAACUCAGGAAUCCCAAAGUUGGUUGUGUUGUGCCAUUGGUUUAGGGCCUGAACACAGGACCUGUCUGCAGCUGAGUGAGUGAGAUGCGUUUGGGUUUAAAUUUCUGUGGAAUACUGAAAUGUAAGUCAGCCCUAAAUAAUCAAAAUAUUUUAUUUUCUUUUUUAAUAGGAACUUUCUGAAGAAAAAGCAAUGUGUAAAACAUUUGAUAUUUAAGACAAUAAAGUUUUUAUCAUACAACUUCUGUUUGAUCAGUUUAUUUUAAAUUGAGGCGAUUACUUUUGUUUCUACCUCCCUACCCCUUUAAAUAACUUACAGCCAGGCACUGUAACUCGUGGACAUGUGCCUGAACCCCAGAAAAAAUGGGCAUCUUGGAGCCAUUAAAGGAACUUCUUUCUAGAUAAUCAUUGUAGGAGGAAGGCUAGCUGCUGAUGUAAAAGAGGUGAGUUUUUUUUAACUUCAUGAGUGGUUAAUGCACAGUAAUAGAAAUAACACUGGCAAUAUAGUGGUCAAAACUCUACUUUCUAGAGCCAGGCUGCUUGGACUUGAAUUCCAGCUUUGUCCCUUAUUAGCUGUGUGAUUGUGGGUAAAUUGCCUUUCUGUGCCUCAGUUUCUCCAUCUCUGCAAUGGGAAGUAUCAUGGGAUGGUUAUAGGGGUUAAAUGAGUUAAUACAUGAAAGGUGCUUAGAACGGUGCAUGGCACAUAGUACCCAUUAGAUGUUAGCUAGUGUUACUGUAUCCAAAGGUUGGAUUGCUCAUCUAACAGUCUGAUAUGGUGGGAGGACUCUGCCCCACGCAGUCUUUCAGGCCUAGGCAACCAGGGCUCUGCCCUCUUCAACAUGUAACUUCCAAGAUUACCUUAGACAUCAGCAGUCACUCAGCAUACCAAGAAAUGGAGGUACUGUACCUCACCUGUAUCCACCUCGUUGCCUGGAACUCGGCCAUAAAGCCAUACCAGAUUGCAAGGGAGACUGUGAAAUUUAUUUCAAAAAUAUAUGUAUAUAUCAAUUUGGGUGCCCAAGGAGAAUAGGAGUAGUUUGGUCAACUAACGUUGCUCGAUUUCACCUCGCAUAGCAUACAUACCCUUUCCUCAAAGGAAAACGCCCCAGAUGCCACUUAUGUCCCCUCUUGACUUAGAAGUUCAGAAUCUCCUGGAAUGCCCAGUGCGCUCUUUCAGGUCUUGAUUGUGGCUCUGUGUGGUCUGGCAAACCCUGAACUAAAAGAUGUUACCUGCUUCUACCCUGUAUACAGUGAUGGAGCAGGAAGAGAAUAGCUACAAUUUUAAAAAAUCCAGUUUGGAAAAGGGAAGAAUGGAAAAUGUGGCAGUCGCUGACCCUAACAAUUAGAAAAUUGUGGUGGACAGGCAUUGUGAAGGAGUUGGAGAAGUUCCUGUAUAGAUUCUGAGUAUGUGCUCUGGAAGGAGCUCUCUUGUCCACUGUCCUCUACAGCCCCACCUGAAGUAGGUGUUGAGUCUGCCCUCCUUGGGAGUUGCACAGCUUUCAGAGCUUACAACUGGUGCGCGCUUGGGGACCGGAGGGCUUGGAAGAGUAUCUAGACUCGUGGUUUCUUUGGUAAAACAAUUUACUUGGUAACACUCAAACAUCUAAUCUGUUUGCUUCCAGUCCAUCCUGAAUGCCAGUAACCACAACCAGAGUUUUUUCCUAUACAUAAUUCUCAAGCCUCAUUUCAUUUCUUUGCUGUCUCGCUUCUGUUCUCUCAAUGGCAUCUACUUUGAAUUCAUCUGAAAUAGGUUUGAGAGGGAAAACCUUAAUACGAUUUUUGCAGUGGGGCUGAGUCUUAUUACUGCGCCUUGGUAUUCAAAGCUCGCUUCAAAUUUAGCUCUUAUUAUCUAGGGUGUAGAAGGAGGAGACCUACUGCAAGGCCCCAGGAUUCAUGGUUCUGUUUUCAUUUCUGCUUACGACCAGCCAAUUCUUUCUUUAGCUUAGCUCUUGUGAUGCUUGUAAUAUAAAAGACAACACACUAACAUGAUUUUUCAACUUUUCCUCUUAGACUAGGAUUCAGGGCUCCUGUGAAGAUCUACAGGCUUUAUAGUUAAUGUAGUCAACCAUCCAAGCUGUCACAGGAAGCAGUUUUACAAAUAUUUUGCCCGCCCCCCCCCCAAAUAACAUGGGGAGGCUUGGUGGCACAGUGGCUAGGGGCAGUGGCUGUUAACCAAAAAGUUGGCAGUUCAAAUCCACCACCCACUCCUUGGAAACACUAUGGGGCAGUUCUACUCUGUCCUGUAGGAUGGCUACGAGUCAACAACAGCAACAAUGGAUUUGGUUUGGUUGGUUUUUGAAUAACAUGGGUCUCCAUUUUUCCAUUUCAGUUCCUUCUUGACCACCAAGGCAAAGUCAUAUUUUAGGUUUUUGUGAUGGCAACAUCCCAUUUCAGUAACCAAUUCCUGUAUUAGGUAAGAUAGACUAGCUGCUUUAAUGACAACAACCAAAAACUGGUGCCAUCAAGUCAGUUCCAACUGACUCAAGCAGACCCGCAUGUGACAGAGUAGAACUGCCCCCAUAGGGUUUCCUAGGCUGUAACCUCUACGGAUGCAUACUGCUACAUCUUUCUUCCACAGACUGGUACCCGCUAACUUUUCAGUUAGCAGCUGAGCACUUAACUAACCACUGUGCUACCAGGGCUUGGCUGUAGCAAACCCACCCCAAAUAACAGUAGCUUAACACAAUAUAACCUUAUUUCUCCUUCACUUAGAGUCCAAUGUGGGUCAGGUCAGUGGAAGUAGAGUGGAUGGGAGGCUCUCCUCCAUGCUGUCAUCCAGGGACUCAGAUUUCCAGCAGUUCUGCCAUUUUCACAUGGCUUCUGAAGUUGCCCUGGCCUUCAACACUCAGUUGGAAGCUGAUGGAAGAGAGAAUCACAAUCAAGGGGUUUUUAUGGGCCAGAUCUGAAUACAGUACACACCACUUCUCACACAAAAUCAGCAAAAACACAGAUACCUGGCCAUCCCUAGCUGAAGGAGAGGCAGGGAAAUGUAGACUGUGACCAGUAAGAAGAGAAAAACAGCUAACCCAGUUUUUACCUCAAAGAAUAAAAAUUUUCUAAUGUCUGGGUAGACAGCAGUAUUUUGUCUUGAUUCCCAGUUAGUCACAAAAUGAGACCCGUGAUUCUGGACUGUUAAGAGUUGAUUUCCAAUUGUUGAGUUUCAGGAUAACUUCUUUCCUACCCUAAAGCUUCCAAGUGGUGUGUGUGUGUGUGUGUGUGCUUUAAGCGAUUUAAAAUUAACCAUUUUUGAUACUCAGGUAACUUAGAACA